rnacentral:rRNA from 1 species
GAUGAACGCUGGCGGCGUGCCUAAUACAUGCAAGUCGAGCGAACAGACGAGGAGCUUGCUCCUCUGACGUUAGCGGCGGACGGGUGAGUAACACGUGGAUAACCUACCUAUAAGACUGGGAUAACUUCGUGAAACCGGAGCUAAUACCGGAUAAUAUAUUUAACCGCAUGUUUCAAUAGUGAAAUACGGUUUUGCUGUCACUUAUAGAUGGAUCCGCGCCGCAUUAGCUAGUUGGUAAGGUAACGGCUUACCAAGGCAACGAUGCGUAGCCGACCUGAGAGGGUGAUCGGCCACACUGGAACUGAGACACGGUCCAGACUCCUACGGGAGGCAGCAGUAGGGAAUCUUCCGCAAUGGGCGAAAGCCUGACGGAGCAACGCCGCGUGAGUGAUGAAGGUCUUCGGAUCGUAAAACUCUGUUAUUAGGGAAGAACAAAUGUGUAAGUAACUAUGCACGUCUUGACGGUACCUAAUCAGAAAGCCACGGCUAAGUACGUG